rnacentral:rRNA from 1 species
CUACUUGCUGGGGUGGAUGAGUGGCGAACGGGUGAGUAAUACGUGAGUAACCUGCCCUUGACUCUGGGAUAAGCCUGGGAAACCGGGUCUAAUACUGGAUACGACGUCCUACCGCAUGGUGGGGCGUGGAAAGGGUUUUACUGGUUUUGGAUGGGCUCACGGCCUAUCAGCUUGUUGGUGGGGUAAUGGCCUACCAAGGCGACGACGGGUAGCCGGCCUGAGAGGGUGACCGGCCACACUGGGACUGAGACACGGCCCAGACUCCUACGGGAGGCAGCAGUGGGGAAUAUUGCACAAUGGGCGCAAGCCUGAUGCAGCGACGCCGCGUGAGGGAUGACGGCCUUCGGGUUGUAAACCUCUUUCAGCAGGGAAGAAGCCACAAGUGACGGUACCUGCAGAAGAAGCGCCGGCUAACUACGUGCCAGCAGCCGCGGUAAUACGU